rnacentral:misc_RNA from 1 species
CCGCGAGGCACGCUCUCCCGCCUCCUCUAAUCGCUUGUGGACCCCACCCACACCUCACACGCCGAAGUACCUUGGCCGCGAAUACUCACACACACACACACACACACACACACACACAUAUAUAGGGCGCACUGCCCACACCUCUCGCACCCAUCAAGAGCGAAUGGGGCAGUACACACGCGACGAGUGGUCGCUGUAGCGGCGCUGCUUCGCUGCAUACCCCCCGACGCCACGCGUCGCGCUCGGUGUGCGCGUGCCGGGCUCGGGUCUGGAUGGGCGGUCGCAUGCUCACGGUCUGCGGACCCGAUGGCGAGGGGGUCUCCCUCGACGAGCGCACCCGCGUCUCCGUGCAGAUCGCACCCGGGGGCACCCGGGGGGACUUGGCGCAGGCACCACGGACGACGGCGCGGAUGCAGGCCACGCUGGCGCACCGGGCAGGGCGAAGGGGUGCGUUGUAGCCGAGGCCUGUGACUGCCGCUUCGCGUGCAGAACCACCAAGCAAACCGCCACAGCAAACUGCCAAGCGUCCGGAGGGGGUCCCCGGACAUUCACGUGCAUGUGCGCACCGCUGUCCCCGGGUGGCCAUGCGAGGACCCCAGCACCGUUUUCCCUCUCCACCCCCCGCGAGGGUUGGAAGGAGGGACGCGUGUGUGCGCACAUGCCUGCCCUCCCUGGCCCCCUCCCUCGAGCACUGUGCUCCUUCUACUUUCCCCUACCCCCAUCUCCGCUGGGAAAUAGCCGACAAAGAUUCUUGAUAUCUUGCUGUCUCCCUACGAGUCCGCAGCUUCGGGGGAGCCGGUGAAAAGUGGAAGGACAAUACAGCAGAGGCGCAGCCUCGCACGCAUCGAGCGCGCUGCCCCCGGCGCCACUAGUCGGUGGUGCUUUAGGGAGAUGCAUCUGGAUGAUGACAGAAAUGGACGUCAGCACAAAGGUACAUGGGAGUCUUCUCUGCUUGAUGUGACCCUUGCAGAGGCACGGCCUGCGCGCAGGCUGUGCGUGGCGUCUCAGGUGGACGCUCUCACAGCACGCGGGAGUGUCACACGUCCCACUCUCUUUUUGCUGUGGCCAACCACUGUACCUCACCCCUUGCCUCUCCUUCCUCUGCACCGUUGUGUGUUUGCUAUCUUUUGUGCAUCUCUGGUGCUCACUCGCCCGCACACAUGGGAUCGGGAGUGAUUACUCACUGCGCCGCCGUGCUUGUGUCGUGGCAAGUGCAUUGACUUCAG